GCAGCAACUGUAAAAGCAAAGCGUGACACCAAAAGUCUUCUUUGCAAAGAUACGGGACCAUCUGAUGCCUAGAAGUACGCAGAGUAGUGCAUCAAUAUGACGUGUCCUGGCACUCGAAGCUCUUUCAGGGGGCAUGUAUUAUCUUUCUCUGGGUUUCUAGCCCUAGAAAUGACUUGGCACAGAGUAAAUGCUCAAUUAAUACUCGAGGAAAGAGUAAACAAGCCAUGUCUCACAAAACACGCCGAAGCGCGACAGAGACAGAAAUAACUUUUUUUUUUUCUGUCCAAGGGAAAUUUUUUGAAGAAUGUGCAGUGGAGGAAUUCGAGAGGUCCCCCCUCCCUUCAUACCAGCCUAAUUUCUCUGAAGAACCCCGCAGCACUAAAGCCCGUCUGUAUCUCAGGUCACUAAAUGAAGGGGUCUUACAUACGGAGAAACCAAAAAAUAACGCUGGAGAAAGGAACAGGGAACUUACGAUAGCUGCUCUCUUUGGGACCAUGGAAAACAACCAGUUCCGUCUUUGGCAUGGCUGAUAGUCAUGAUUCCUAUUCAAGAAAUUAUUCAGACUGGCCUCUCCUUUCGAAACCCUUCGCUGUGGACACUGAGCCAAUCCUUGGGCGGCAUCUCAAGUAGGUCACCCGAUGUUCGUGAUCGUUCUCAGGGCUGGUGACCACGUUACUCCUUCAUACUCGGGUAAAAAGUAACGAACAUUAUGGAUAAAAGUACACAACCGAUGACACAGGCCGCAUGUGGGAAGUAUAGCAGUUUGCAGAUGAUGGUAACAAAGUGUAUAAGACGUUUUUGCACCCCUCGGAGACGUGUCCUGGGAAAUACCAAUGAAUUAACCUGAACGGUAAUCGCGAUUCCUAAUUGAUGCUGGCAAACAAAAUAGAAUGUCAUCACUUACAUCACUUACGAAAGUUUCCAUAUAAUCUACGUGACUUUUUUUUUUUUUUAAAGAUGGUUCUCACUGUUUUUCAGGUUGUUGCUGUGGCAUUAAUAACACUGUCAUUUUUGAAACAAGUAAAAGAUAAAGGAAGAGGAAAUCAUUAGCAAGAACAACCCCAAGAAUGUUUUAAAACUUGACCUUUCAUGGGGCGCCUGGGUGGCUCGGUCGGUUAAGCGUCCGACUUCGG